GACGAACGCUGGCGGCGUGCCUAAUACAUGCAAGUCGAACGAGAGCGACCGGUGCUUGCACUGGUCAAUCUAGUGGCGAACGGGUGAGUAACACGUGGGUAACCUGCCCAUCAGAGGGGGAUAACAUCCGGAAACGGAUGCUAAAACCGCAUAGGUCUUCGAACCGCAUGGUUUGAAGAGGAAAAGAGGCGCAAGCUUCUGCUGAUGGAUGGACCCGCGGUGCAUUAGCUAGUUGGUGAGGUAACGGCUCACCAAGGCCGUGAUGCAUAGCCGACCUGAGAGAGUGAUCGGCCACAUUGGGACUGAGACACGGCCCAAACUCCUACGGGAGGCAGCAGUAGGGAAUCUUCCGCAAUGGACGCAAGUCUGACGGAGCAACGCCGCGUGAGUGAAGAAGGUUUUCGGAUCGUAAAACUCUGUUGUUAGAGAAGAACAAGUGCUAGAGUAACUGUUAGCGCCUUGACGGUAUCUAACCAGAAAGCCACGGCUAACUACGUG
rnacentral:rRNA from 1 species